UUUUUUUUUUUUUUUUUUUGUCUUUUGUCCUUUUAGGUCCACUCCCGCUACACAUGGAGCUUCCCAGGCUAGGGGUCCAAUUGGAGCUAUUGCUGCCAGGCUACACCACAGCCACAGCAACACCAGAUCUGAGCCACAUCUGCGACCCACACCAUGGCUCACAGCAACGCUGGAUCCUUAACCCACUGAGUGAGGCCAGGGAUCGAACCCACAACCUCAUAGAUCCCAGUAAGACUCGUUUCCAUUGCACCAUGUUGGGAACUCCUGUACAAACAUUUCUAAAACACUUGUCUAGUGAUUCAACUCAGCAACUACUCACUGGGCACCAACUCUGGUCGAGGGGCCACUGGGCAUCGACUAACCAAUAAGGAGAGUGUGCGGACUGGAGGAGAAGAGACACACAAACAGCUAAUGCUCCUGCAGCCCAGCACAGCGUCAGUGCUAAGCUCUACUGUCUGGGUAUUAAAGCAUCACAAAACGCCCAGUGGCACAGGCUGAAACUGACAGCAGGUGGCUUCUUCGAUAAAGACAUCAUCGAGAGGGUCCCUGGUUCAUGUCAACCCCAUCUGAAAGUCCUUUGGGCUUUGUUUCUAAAAUCAACUUAACCCACUGAGUGAGGCCAGGGAUCAAACCCACGGCCUCGUGGUGUGAUCCCUUGCACCUGCCCACUUGUCUCUCCUUGCAUGGCCAAUAGUCCUGGUCUAGACUGAGGGCCUGGCCUCUCUCAUUGCAGCCUCUGCAACCACCUCCUAACAGUCUCCAGGCAGACCAGUCUCCUGAUCUGUUCCCCAUUCAGCAGCUGCCAUCCUUUCCAAGACACGAAUAAGAUCAUGCUACACCCAUGGUCGAAAAUUUCCAACAACUGACUUUCCACUGAUUUGGGGAUAAAAUCUCUCUCUCUCUCUCUUUUUUAACCACAAGAUCUGGUCUCUGCCCCCACCCCCACAGCAGCCUCACCUAACUCCUGCCACCUGGCUCUCCUGCUUUCCUUGAAGAUACCAAGCUCAUCCCAUGUGCAGGGGUUACAGACUCCCUUGCUCUCUGCCCAGGAGGUAUUCUCCCCAGAUCGCCACACAACCGGCUCCUCCUCAUCUGCCAAUUCUCUCCUCAAAACAUAAUCCCAGCACCCUCUUCCCUGACCUCUCGGCAGCAAAGCCCUCGCCUCAUCCUGUCCCAUGAUCUUAUUUUCCUGGGACUUCCUGAAAUUAUCUUGCUCCUUUGUGUAUUGUCUAUCUUCCCCAACUGGAAGUUUUUAUGAAAGCAUCCCUCCUAACAGCAGGGCACACAGUAGGUGCACAAUGAAUAUCUGAUGAUGGAGGAAAGUAAUCCCAUCAGAGGACCCCACUUCUCAGCUUCCACACCCUCCUCAAGACUGCAGCCUCCUCGGCUGUGAAACAGAGACCAGAGAUGCCAUGGCUUCUAUAUUCACUUCCAAAGGUGGUGUUUUGAGAUUCUAAGACAGCUCGGCCAAUGUUUUCUGCAAGCAACCAGACAGUAACUAUUUCAGGCUUUGUAGGCUAUACACUCUCUGCUGUAACUAUUCAUCUUUGCCAUCACAGCAUGAAAAACAGCCACAGACAACAUGUAACAGGUGCAUAUGGCUGCGUUCCAAUAAAACUACAGUUACAAUAACAGGUGGGUGGGACAGAGGGCUAUCAGCCCUUAUACUGAAUGACAGCACACCCUCAGGUGGUGGUGGCUUUAUCUCCCAAGCCCUUUGUCCCUUUUGUCGCUUCUGGGCUCUCAGCCCCAUUUCCUCCCUAAACCUGUUUUUCCCUUGGUUGAUGCCAUCAGGUUACACCACUCGCUGGCCCUCCUGGUUGCCACUCACCCUCAGGCUUCUUGAACCACGUGGCACCUGGUGCAAAUUCUCUCACCUCCCCCAAUGCCACUCCUGUCAAAAUUCUCUGUCAUUUCACUUCUGUGAACAGAGGCCUUCUAAUACCCUGGCCUCGCAUCUCCUCAAUGUUUUCACCUUCAUUGAUCUUGUCCUCCGCCCAACCUCAGCCACCAACUCCCACGGUUCCACCUUAGACUCCCUCAUCCUCCCCACAGCACUCAGAGGGUUCCUUUACAACACAGAUCAAGUCCUUUCUCUCCUCAAAACUCUGUACUGCUUCCCAUCCCCCUCAGCAUGAACCUCAAAGUCCUUACGUUGAUCUGGUCCAGGUAAUCUGAGUCCCAGCCAACUCUAACUUAUCUCCUAUCACUCACACUACCUCUUACUGCACUCUGCCUGUUCCAUCCUCCUUGCUGUUCCUCAAACAAGCCUGGCACUUGCCUGCCUCAGGGCCUUUGCACCUGUGGUUCUCGACAUCUGGACCACUCUUGCCCCAGAUAUCGACUUGGCUUUCUCACUUCUUUCUGGUCUGCUUACAUAUUAUCAUAUCAAAGAGGCCUUCCCUGGUCAUCGUCCCCAGAAACAGAACCUCCCCAACCCCAUCACUCUCUACUCCCCUUACCCUAUUUUUCGUCAUAGUGCUUGACACAAUCUGACAUAUUUUUAAAUAUUUUGCUGUUUGUGGAAGAGAGGUUCCGGGGGCGGGGGGUAGAGACUUGUCUUAUUCUCCUGUAGUCUUAGCACCAAGGCUGUGGUAUGCGGCACAGAGUAGAUGCUCAAUAAAACAUUUUCUGAAUUUGUUAAACCAAAUCCUUCUAGAAGCAACUCACCUUCUUUCAGUGCUGCUGCCAGUAACGAGGCCGCCUGGGGAGGCUCUCCGGGGUCCAGUUUAAUGAGGAGGUGUGGCUCUAGAUGGACAUCCUCAAAUCCACUCAGUUCUCCAAGUUCAGCGUAAAUAUGCAGUUUCUCCUCCAAAUACGCACAAAUUUGUUGGUCUUGGUUACUGAGUAUUUCUAAGAAAUAGCAUUCACCACAGAGGAUUAUUCAUAACAUGCACACAACUAAUAUGAAAAUCCAAGCCACACGAUAAAGAUGUUGCUCAUUAGCAAGCAGUAGGGUCUAACAGGUCAAGUACAAAUUGCUGGGUGGGACCGAAAGAGGUUCAAAUCCUAACCGUUCCACUUGGUGACUGUAGCUUCCAGCAAAUGACUUAACAUCUCCCAGCUCCCAUGGUCUCUUCUGUAAAUUUGGUGUACUCAAUUAAGGUUCGUUUCCUUUCCCAUUCCCCUAAUUCCAGAAAAACUGGCAAAGCCCAUCUUUGUUUAUUUGGGCUGUUUUCGAUUAAGACUAAACAUGAAGCUCAGAGAUGAAAAUUGAGGCGGCACCGUCCGCAAUGAGCAGGACCCACGAAGGGAAACACCGUGAAGGCUGGAGCGGCUCGGCCUUCAGCCAGUGCCGGUCAAAACCAAACAUGCUGAUUUACGUGUUUGUUCCUCAACAUCCAAUUUCUGUAACCAUCUUCGUCUGCAUCGUCUUCCUGGGAUUUCAACAUGUCACAGAUGUCUUUGAGCUUAAAGGGACCUUCACCAGCAGCGAAUCCAGGGGCUCUCAGUUUGCCUCGGCAUCACUGGGGAUGAGUUUAAAUCACUCAUGUCUACACCCUGUGGCCUUCAGAUUCUGGGUGCAUUGGCUUAGGGUGGGGGCCAGGCUCUGGCAUUUUUAAAGACCUCCCCAAAGGUGGCUAAUGCCAGGCCAGAGCUUAUACUCUCUGAAUUCAUCUCGUGUCCUUACGUCGCAGUUCUGGACACUGAGGACCAGACUGACUGGGUUCCUUGUCCAAAGUCAUACAACUAUGACCUGACAGCAGCAGGAUCUAAAAUCAAACCACUGGACAACAAGUCCAAUGCCUGUCUUACCAUACUGCCCACAGUUGCUGUUAUGUUAUAUGCAGAAUUUUUAAAACAUGUUUUUAAUCACUAAGGGAGAAGGAGACAGGGAGUCAUUUUAUUUGAGCACUUUUAGUGCCAGAAUUUUUUUUUUUCAAUGGCAGGGUGGACCUUGGGUGCCGAAAGUCAAUCAUUUAGUCAUAACUUCCCAUUCAUGACACCUGGGCUUUCCCAACAUCCCAUAAAAACCCCUCAAGACCAGGGAGCCAAAGGCACCGGCACUGUACCUUGACAUUGCUGAAUUUUGGCCACUCUGACUUCAGCUCUCCGCCUCUCUUCAUCUGAUUCACUUGUCUUUCCCCCUUCUUCUUCUGGGCAACUUUAAAAGACAACAGUCAAGAGAGACAACUGAAACCACAUCCAAGUAUCUUUAGGUUCAUGAGAAAGACACGGGAACUUGGCAGUAGAAUUGUUCAGAGAAGAAGAAUUCAGCAUAAAGACAAUUCCCCAUGCCCCUGGCCGAGAGAUUUGAUUUUCUUGAGUAUAUUACGGACCUUGCAUAAUAUAACAUAGGUCUCAAAGUCAGCCAUGUAGGAUGACUCAAAUAUUCCAAAAAACACAUGCACGCACAAACAUAUACACACAGUACCAAUGUCAGCAGCAGGUACAACAAAAGUCAUAAUGUUUGUUUUCUACUGCCUGUACUUCCAUUCCUUUAUUUAUUUAUUUAUUUACUUAGUCUUUUGUCUUUUUAGGGCAUCACCCACAGCAUAUGGAGCGGCCCUAGAAAAGGCAAAAAGACAAAAAAAAAAAAAAAGUAGAUAAUCAUCAUGCCAGUUGUUAACUCCUUGAAAUACUGGCCAAAUCACUUAUCUCUAGAUUAUUUUUUAAAAAUUCUGGAGGAGUUUCUGAUACAAUCUCCUGGAGGUCCAGAUGAAACUAAAUUUAGCUAUUUUUUUAAUAUUUGAUUUAAAACCCCCAGGUAGUUGAUGUUUAUUGAGGUGAAUGGAACUAAAAGGGAAAGUUUUGGGAGAUCAGAAAAAUCCUAGAAGGAGAGGAGAAAAGAAAAACAGAGCAAAUGACCUAUUCUCUAGAGUCUAGAGCAACAGAAAUAGCAGCAAAGUGGAACAAGAACAAGUCCUCCAAAGGGUCUAAAUGAUCCAGCCUCUAAAUGUUUUCAAAAGAUGCACGCUGGCUUUGUCAGGAAACCAAGGAACAGAUUGUGACACCCACUGUUAACAAGGAAGAUUUUCCCACUGCCCGUGAAAGAAUACACUUCCUUUAUUUCACUACAUUACUCCACCUGCCACCCAACUAAGCAGCUGCCCUUCCAAAAAAAAAAAAAGAAAAAAGAAAAGAAAAGAAAGGUACUUCUUUCUAAAGAGCAUAUUUCAUGUAUAGGAAAGUUGAGGAGAGAUAAUCCAAUCAAAGCUGAGUUACAAGGUGACUUAGAGUAAGGCCAGGAAAAGGCUUGGAGACUGCAGAUCUUCGGGGACAAAUUACUGUCUUAUAACAGCUUGCACAGAAUGUGCAGCAUCAGGCCCACCUGGGAGUCUCAUUAGAAAGGCUUACCUGGGGUUCUACCUCAGACCUACUGAAUCAGAGUCUUUGUGUAAACAAGGUCCCCAGGCGAAGGGUAUCAAGUUCAAGUUCGAAAGGCACCGCCACAACAGAGCCACAUGAAUUAAUGUUCCCAGAAGCCAGAGAGAGAACUGGUUGGAAAGAUCCAAGCGAACUAAGGAGAUGGCAGUCCAUUCAGCCCCUAGGACCACCCUAUCUGAGGAAGUCACACUUCUCAUUUCCAACACACAGCAGGCAAUCCGUUCAUGCAUUCUACCUGGAAUUUGGCGUGAGAUGAUUCUCAGAGGGGCACGAACUGACCUAACACCAUCUGACAGAGAGAAUAUAACUGUAACACAAACUGAAAGUCUUGAUUUUGUUUUCAUUCUUUUACUAAGAACAAAAUGAUGAGGCCUUCCCCUUUCUCUUUUUUCUUUUUUUGACUGUGCCCAUGGCAUGCAGAAGCCAAGGAUCAAACCUGAGCCACAGCAGUGACAACUCCAGAUCCCUAACUGCUGGGCCACCAAGGAACUCCAGACUUCUCUCUUUAUAUUGUGCUUAUAUAUUCUCUUAUGUUAAAUUAUAGGAAGCAAUAAAAACGAGACAUAAGGGGCGCUCCCGUCGUGGCUCAGUGGUUAACAAACCCAACUAGGAACCAUGAGGUUUCGGGUUCCAUCCCUGGCCUUGCUCAGUAGAUUAAGGAUCCGGCAUUGCCAUGAGCUGUGGUGUAGGUCGCAGA
rnacentral:lncRNA from 1 species